AGUUCUGUGGUGUAGUUGGUUAACGCAUCCUGCUUAGCGAACUGGUCGUGGGUUCAAAUUCCACCAGAACAG
rnacentral:tRNA from 1 species